CAAAAACUUCAACGGAUACAACGAAAUCGUUCUGAAGAACGCCAUUCUACUUGUGAUUUCUGUCCUCAAGGUGAAGACAACGUAACGCGACUUUGGAGUUGAAGAGAGUAUGUGCUCCCCGGACGGCGCUGUAGACAAGAGAUGUGGGAAGAGUUACGAGAGUUCUGACGCCUCCGUCCACAACCUGGACAAACACUUCGACGCCAGGAUGGAAUACCAGGGUCGUGGGUUCGAGCCCCACGUUGGGCGAAGUUUUUCAUCCUAUCCUAGCUAGAUCAUAUCCCGACCGAAAAAUCUGAACCUGAAGACAGCUGAAGACGUCGGGCUGGCGAUAGACCAGGAGUUCCGCCAGAGGAUGGCCGUCUUCCGAUUCUUAUCCUCCGCCAUCAACAAGAUCUUCGCCUUUCUUGUCGUCUUGACGAUUCUUGCGACGCACACGUACCAGCGGAAGUUCUGCACCAAGUUUGACUUUGACAACCUGUACAUCACCGGGUACUUCCGGUGGAUAGACGCGCGGAGGAGGCGGGCUGGCAAGAGGACACUGCUUCCUCUUAAGAAAGCGGAGGAGAAUGAAAUCAUCUAUCCAACAAGGAUGAAGCUGAUGAGUCACGAAAAGGCAAAACUG